GGUGGUUACCUGGAGGUUCCGGCGACUCGCCAGAUGGUGGUGGUGGAGCUGAUGGUGUGUGCAUGGGGAACAACUACACCUCAAUCCCAAGGGGUCAACUAUAUGAAUCAUCACUAUCCAUGGCGCUCCAUUUAGAUCCGUCUAAAUCCAAUAUUCAACCAUUUAGGUUCUCUACAAUUCAUAUUGGCAUACAAAUCUCUAACAAUAUUAAGCGAAUCCUAGUGAACAAUAGACUAAAGUUAUACUUUUUCAUCACAACACAAUGUUUCGUCUCUUAGGGUAUCAUCCACCACUGCUACACUUGAUGGUGACUGAAUGUUUCUUCGCUUAUUAGCAAGAAAGCAUGUCCUGAAACUUCUCUAAUAUCUUCUCUUAUCUGGAAUACUUUAUCUACCUAAACUGGAUAACCAAUUUAGUGACAGAAAUACUUUGCUCAUGCAGCCCAAUAAGGAAGAACGGAAUUGAAAAGUGCUUUUGCUGGGCAAUGCGUUUUUGUCAUCACCCUAACUAUUUUCUUCUUUCUUUCCACAAAAAUGGACUUUGGUUAUUACCCUUUUCCUUUUUGAUAGGUGAAACACCUCAGAAGACAACUCACCAACUUGCAACUCCCACAUAAACGUAAAAUAUUGAUGCUCAUUCUUGAGAGUCUAGAUGUGAACUUUACAUUGUACCAAUUUGUAUCAGAGAGGAAAACGUGGAAGUUACAACAUAGUUUUGUCUAUCUUUUUAAUGACAGAAGAGUAAAAAGUACAUACAUUGGUGAUUUCAGAUAAUAUCUUAUAGUCAAGUAUCCAGAAGAAUGACAAAAAAAAUUCUUCACAAUAGAAUUCUGAGCCUUUUUCUUUUUCAAACCUGAUGUGAAUUCUUCCCUUGACCCGAGGGUUACAACCUCUCUACCUUCGCGAGGCAGGAGCAAGGUCCGUACACAUUCCCUCCCCAGACCCCACACUACAGGAAUAAACUAGGUAUGUUGGUGUUGUACUGUUUAAUAGAAUUCGCCUAUCCAAGACAAACAUUUCUUUUAAGAAUAAAGGUAUGCAAAGGAAGGAAACAUACUAAUAUGACAGAACUACCAAUUUGCUCAAACAAUUACUUUCUUGAGUUUUGGCCAUGUCCAGGUAUGCGAGAAUUUGGACAGAUCUAUACUAAGUUGGAUUUUGUCAAUUAUCUAAUGAAAGGGGUAAAAGGAACUGGAAGAAAAAAAAUUCUUCCAGAAAUGUGUUUCACCUGCAAAGGGGAAAAACAAGGUAGAAACUGAAAUAAAGCUCAGUGCUAGAACUGGAAGGGAGCAUACUGUAGCUAGAAACAUUUACAUACUUUUGAUAAUGCCAUUAAAAUACCUCAUUUUGACAAGUAACCAUGAUCGUUGACUUCUAUGACGUUCUAAACAAAAUAGGGAUUUAAUCAUCUAAGCAACUCAGGAGAGCUAAUUGCAGUAUCUUAUUUUUAAUCUUCCAGAAAUUGGAAUACUCGUUUCAAAAGGAACAUCAUUUUUAAGCUUGAGAAAAGUUACCACACAUUACUGUGGAGAUCUUUUGAAAAUGGGAAUCAAUAUGCAGAAUUCCAGAUAUGUUCCCAAGUGCUGACAACAAAUGAAACAAGGCACUGCUUCACUUCAAUGAGGGUAGCCCUUUGAAUAUCGAUCGGAACAUCUUUCCCUCUCCAGGAAAACCUGUUCUUGCAUAUUUCAGAAUAACCCAAAAGCAUAUACUACCCAAGUUUCAUUAUAUAAUGGACCUACGUCAU
rnacentral:lncRNA from 1 species